AACAAAUUCAAUUCAGUUUACAAGCAACUUUCUCAUAAGAGAUACUCAUGAAAGCCCAAAUUUAAUUCAGCCAACCUAAAAUGCAAAAAGAAGAUACAGAGGUCAUGCUUACUUCUGCUGAAUUGAAAAUAAUUCAGCUUGCAAAUGAUAAUAAAUCAGCAGGAAAAGCAGCUAUUGAAGAUUAUUAUUAUAUGAAUAUAAUAUUCCUUUUUUUUCAACCCUUUAAAUAAACAUAAUUAAUAAAUCUAUUUUAGAUGAUUGUCAU